AGCAGCCGCGGUAAUUCCAGCUCCAAUAGCGUAUAUUAAAGUUGUUGCAGUUAAAAAGCUCGUAGUUGAAUUUCGGGAUCAAGGAAUCGGUCAUGCCUCGGUAUGUACUGGUUUUAUUGGUUCUCACCUUCUAAAGAACCAUGAUGUCAUUCAUUUGAUGUUAUGGGGAAUUAGGACUGUUACCUUGAAAAAAUUAGAGUGUUUAAAGCAGGCUUACGCUUGAAUACAUUAGCAUGGAAUAAUGAAAUAGGACAUCAGAUUCUAUUUUGUUGGUUUCUAGGAUCGAUGUAAUGAUUAAUAGGGAUAGUUGGGGGCAUUAGUAUUCAAUUGUCAGAGGUGAAAUUCUUGGAUUUAUUGAAGACUAACUACUGCGAAAGCAUUUUGCCAAGGAUGUUUUCAUUAAUCAAGAACGAAAGUUAGGGGAUCGAAGACGAUCAGAUACCGUCGUAGUCUUAACCAUAAACUAUGCCGACUAGGGAUCGGAUGAUGUUAAUUUUUUAAUGACUCAUUCGGCGCCUUA
rnacentral:misc_RNA from 1 species